UACGUAGGGGGCUAGCGUUGUCCGGAAUCAUUGGGCGUAAAGAGCGUGUAGGCGGUCCGGUCAGUCGGCUGUGAAAGUCCAGGGCUCAACCCUGGGAUGCCGGUCGAUACUGCCGGACUAGAGUUCGGAAGAGGCGAGUGGAAUUCCCGGUGUAGCGGUGAAAUGCGCAGAUAUCGGGAGGAACACCUAUGGCGAAGGCAGCUCGCUGGGACGUUACUGACGCUGAGACGCGAAAAGCGUGGGGGAGCAAACAGG
rnacentral:rRNA from 1 species